GUCCAGACUCCUACGGGAGGCAGCAGUGGGGAAUAUUGCACAAUGGGGGAAACCCUGAUGCAGCGACGCCGCGUGGGUGAAGGAGUAUUUCGGUAUGUAAAGCCCUAUCAGCAGGGAAGAUAAUGACGGUACCUGACUAAGAAGCCCCGGCUAACUACGUGCCAGCAGCCGCGGUAAUACGUAGGGGGCAAGCGUUAUCCGGAUUUACUGGGUGGAAAGGGAGCGUAGACGGCAGCGCAAGCCUGGAGUGAAAGGAUGGGGCCCAACCCCAUGACUGCUCUGGGAGCUGUGCGGCUAGAGUGCCGGAGGGGUAAGCGGAAUUCCUAGUGUAGCGGUGAAAUGCGUAGAUAUUAGGAGGAACACCAGUGGCGAAGGCGGCUUACUGGACGGUAACUGGCGUUGAGGCUCGAAAGCGUGGGGAGCAAACAGGAUUAGAUACCCGUGUA
rnacentral:rRNA from 1 species